GCUGGGCAUGGUGGCGCGUGCCUGUAAUCCCAGCUACUCAGGAAGCUGAGGCAGGAGAAUUGCUUGAACCCAGGAGGUGGAGGUUGCGGUGAGCUGAGAUCGCGCCAUUGCACUCCAGCCUGGGUAACAAGAGCAAAACUCUGUCUCAA
ensembl:misc_RNA Metazoa_SRP Metazoan signal recognition particle RNA